GGCGGACGGGUGAGUAGCGCGUGGGAACCUACCUUGCAGUACGGAAUAACUGUUGGAUACGGCAGCUAAUACCGUAUACGCCCUUCGGGGGAAAGAUUUAUCGCUGUUGGAUGGGCCCGCGCCUGAUUAGCUUGUUGGUGAGGUAAUGGCUCACCAAGGCUACGAUCAGUAGCUGGUCUGAGAGGAUGAUCAGCCACACUGGGACUGAGACACGGCCCAGACUCCUACGGGAGGCAGCAGUGGGGAAUAUUGGACAAUGGGGGCAACCCUGAUCCAGCCAUGCCGCGUGAGUGAAGAAGGCCUUAGGGUUGUAAAACUCUUUCACCAGGGACGAUGAUGACGGUACCUGGAGAAGAAGCCCCGGCUAACUCCGUGCCAGCAGCCGCGGUAAUACGGAGGGGGCUAGCGUUGUUCGGAAUUACUGGGCGUAAAGCGCGCGUAGGCGGUUUAUCAAGUCAGACGUGAAAUCCCCGGGCUCAACCCGGGAACUGCGUUUGAUACUGGUUGACUAGAGGCCGGGAGAGGGUAGUGGAAUUCC
rnacentral:rRNA from 1 species